rnacentral:rRNA from 1 species
UUGUAUUUAUAAAAUAAAGAAUAGGACCUGCCCAGUGAAAUUUAAACGGCCGCAGUACUCUGACUGUGCAAAGGUAGCAUAAUCAUUUGCCUUAUAAUUGAAGGCUAGUAUGAAUGGUUUGACGAGAGUAUAACUGUCUCUUUAUAAUUAUUUAAAAUUUUAUUUUUAGGUGAAGAAGCCUAAUUGAUAUUAAUAGACAAGAAGACCCUAUCGAGCUUUAGAGAUAAUGAUUUAAUAAGAACGUAAUAAUAUAAGUUUGAUUUUCAUUGAACUUUAAUUGGGGCGAUUAAGGAACAAAAGAAGCUUCUUUUUUUUAGUAAACAAAUAUGUAUGGAUCCAGUAUCACUGAUUAUAGGAAAAGUUACCGUAGGGAUAACAGCAUAAUCUUUUUAGAGAGACCAUAUUGAAAAAAAGGUUUGUGACCUCGAUGUUGGACCAGAAUAUCCCAAAGGUGUAGCAGCCUUUAAAGGUUGGUCUGUUCGACCAUUAAAAUUCUA